rnacentral:rRNA from 1 species
AAGAGAGCUUGAUUGCAAGACAUACAGGUCGAGCAAGGAUGAAAAUCGGACUUAGUGAUCCGGUGGUUCUGCGUGGAAGGGCCAUCGCUCAACGGAUAAAAGCUACCCUGGGGAUAACAGGCUUAUCUCCCCCAAGAGUCCACAUCGACGGGGCGGUUUGGCACCUCGAUGUCGGCUCAUCACAUCCUGGGGCUGUAGUAGGUCCCAAGGGUUGGGCUGUUCGCCCAUUACAGUGGUACGCGAGCUGGGUUCAGAACGUCGUGAGACAGUUCGGUCCCUAUCCGUCGCAGGCGUAGGAAAUUUGAGAAGACCUGUCCUUAGUACGAGAGGACCGGG